rnacentral:rRNA from 1 species
GUCUGGUCUGUAACUGACGCUGAGCUCGAAAGUAUGGGUAGCAAACAGGAUUAGAUACCUGGUAGUCCAUACCGUAAACGAUGAAUGCUAAGUGUUGGAGGGUUUCCCCCUUCAGUGCUGCAGCUAACGCAUUAAGCAUUCCGCUGGGGAGUACGGCCGCAAGGCUGAAACUCAAAGGAAUUGACGGGGGCCCGCACAAGCGGUGGAGCAUGUGGUUUAAUUCGAAGCUACGCGAAGAACCUUACCAGGUCUUGACAUACUAUGCAAAUCUAAGAGAUUAGACGUUCCCUUCGGGGACAUGGAUACAGGUGGUGCAUGGUUGUCGUCAGCUCGUGUCGUGAGAUGUUGGGUUAAGUCCCGCAACGAGCGCAACCCUUAUUAUCAGUUGCCAGCAUUAAGUUGGGCACUCUGGUGAGACUGCCGGUGACAAACCGGAGGAAGGUGGGGAUGACGUCAAAUCAUCAUGCCCCUUAUGACCUGGGCUACACACGUGCUACAAUGGAUGGUACAACGAGUUGCGAACUCGCGAGAGUAAGCUAAUCUCUUAAAGCCAUUCUCAGUUCGGAUUGUAGGCUGCAACUCGCCUACAUGAAGUCGGAAUCGCUAGUAAUCGCGGAUCAGCAUGCCGCGGUGAAUACGUUCCCGGGCCUUGUACACACCGCCCGUCACACCAUGAGAGUUUGUAACACCCAAAGUCGGUGGGGUAACCUUUAGGAACCAGCCGCCUAAGGUGGGACAGAUGAUUAGGGUGAAGUCGUAACAAGGUAACCA